rnacentral:rRNA from 1 species
GGGUAAUCGGCCCCACUGGGACUGAGACCCGGCCCAGACUCCUACGGGAGGCAGCAGUAGGGAAUCUUCCACAAUGGACGAAAGUCUGAUGGAGCAACGCCGCGUGAGUGAAGAAGGUUUUCGGAUCGUAAAACUCUGUUGUUGGAGAAGAAUGUAUCUGAUAGUAACUGAUCAGGUAGUGACGGUAUCCAACCAGAAAGCCACGGCUAACUACGUGCCAGCAGCCGCGGUAAUACGUAGGUGGCAAGCGUUGUCCGGAUUUAUUGGGCGUAAAGCGAGCGCAGGCGGUUUCUUAAGUCUGAUGUGAAAGCCUUCGGCUCAACCGAAGAAGUGCAUCGGAAACUGGGAAACUUGAGUGCAGAAGAGGACAGUGGAACUCCAUGUGUAGCGGUGAAAUGCGUAGAUAUAUGGAAGAACACCAGUGGCGAAGGCGGCUGUCUGGUCUGUAACUGACGCUGAGGCUCGAAAGCAUGGGUAGCAAACAGGAUUAGAUACCCUGGUAGUCCAUGCCGUAAACGAUGAGUGCUAGGUGUUGGAGGGUUUCCGCCCUUCAGUGCCGCAGCUAACGCAUUAAGCACUCCGCCUGGGGAGUACGACCGCAAGGUUGAAACUCAAAGGAAUUGACGGGGGCCCGCACAAGCGGUGGAGCAUGUGGUUUAAUUCGAAGCAACGCGAAGAACCUUACCAGGUCUUGACAUCCUUUGACCACUCUAGAGAUAGAGCUUUCCCUUCGGGGACAAAGUGACAGGUGGUGCAUGGUUGUCGUCAGCUCGUGUCGUGAGAUGUUGGGUUAAGUCCCGCAACGAGCGCAACCCUUAUUACUAGUUGCCAGCAUUUAGUUGGGCACUCUAGUGAGACUGCCGGUGACAAACCGGAGGAAGGUGGGGACGACGUCAAAUCAUCAUGCCCCUUAUGACCUGGGCUACACACGUGCUACAAUGGAUGGUACAACGAGUUGCGAGACCGCGAGGUUUAGCUAAUCUCUUAAAACCAUUCUCAGUUCGGAUUGUAGGCUGCAACUCGCCUACAUGAAGCCGGAAUCGCUAGUAAUCGCGGAUCAGCAUGCCGCGGUGAAUACGUUCCCGGGCCUUGUACACACCGCCCGUCACACCAUGAGAGUUUGUAACACCCAAAGCCGGUGAGGUAACCCUUCGGGAGCCAGCCGUCUAAGG